AGCAGCCGCGGUAAUUCCAGCUCCAAUAGCGUAUAUUAAAGUUGUUGCAGUUAAAAAGCUCGUAGUUGAAUUUCGGGAUCAGCAGGUCGGUCGUGCCACUGGUAUGCACUGGCCUUGCUGAUUCCUCCCUCUUGAUGAGCCGUAAUGCCAUUAAUUUGGUGUUGCGGGGAAUCAGGACUGUUACUUUGAAAAAAUUAGAGUGUUUAAAGCAGGCAUGCGCUUGAAUACAUUAGCAUGGAAUAAUGAAAUAGGACGUUCGAUCCUAUUUUGUUGGUUUCUAGGAUUGACGUAAUGAUUAAUAGGGAUAGUUGGGGGCAUUAGUAUUCAAUUGUCAGAGGUGAAAUUCUUGGAUUUAUUGAAGACUAACUACUGCGAGAGCAUUUGCCAAGGAUGUUUUCAUUAAUCAAGAACGAAAGUUAGGGGAUCGAAGACGAUCAGAUACCGUCGUAGUCUUAACCAUAAACUAUGCCGACUAGGGAUCGGAUGAUGUUAAUUUUUUAAUGACUCAUUCGGCGCCUUA
rnacentral:rRNA from 1 species